CAGCCGCCGCGGUAAUACGAGGGGGGCAAGCGUUGUUCGGAAUUAUUGGGCGUAAAGGGUGCGUAGGCGGUUUGACAAGUCUCAUGUGAAAUCUUCGGGCUCAACUCGAAGUCUGCAUGGGAAACUGUCGGGCUUGAGUAUGGGAGAGGUGAGUGGAAUUUCCGGUGUAGCGGUGAAAUGCGUAGAUAUCGGAAGGAACACCUGUGGCGAAAGCGGCUCACUGGACCAUAACUGACGCUGAGGCACGAAAGCUAGGGGAGCAAACAGGAUUAGAUACCCCAGUAGUCCCUGUCUCUUAUAA
rnacentral:rRNA from 1 species